rnacentral:rRNA from 1 species
UACGAGGGAUGCAAGCGUUAUCCGGAAUUAUUGGGCGUAAAGCGUUUGUAGGCGGGCGAGUGUGUUUAAUGUUAAAUCUUAAAGCUCAACUUUGAAAUUGCGUUAAAAACUGCUUGUCUUGAGUAUGGUAGGGGUAAAGGGAAUUCCCAGUGUAGCGGUGAAAUGCGUAGAUAUUGGGAAGAACACUAAACAGCGAAGGCACUUUACUAGGCUAAUACUGACGCUGAGAAACGAAAGGUAAGGUAGCGAAACGGAUUAGAUACCCGUGUAGUCUUACCCGUAAACUAUGGACACUAAACGGUAAAUUUUUAAUUUACUGUUAAAGCUAACGCGUUAAGUGUCCCGCCUGGGGAGUAUGCUUGCAAAAGUGAAACUCAAAGGAAUUGACGGGGGCCCGCACAAGCGGUGGAGCAUGUGGUUUAAUUCGACGGUACACGAAGAACCUUACCAGGAUUUGACAUGCUAGAUAGUUGCUUGAAAGAGUAACGUGCCGUAAGGAAUCUAGACACAGGUGGUGCAUGGCUGUCGUCAAGUUCGUGUUGUGAAAAUGUUGGGUUAAGUCCCGCAACGAACGCAACCCUUGUCUUUAGUUAUUUUCUAAAGAGACUGCCUGUAAUAAACAGGAGGAAGGUAAGGAUGAGGUCAAGUCAUCAUGCCCCUUAUGUCCUGGGCUACACACGUGCUACAAUGGGAAAGACAAUGAGCUGCAAAAUCUGUAAAUUUAAGCAAAAUCUCUUAAACUUUCUCG